GAUGAACGCUGGCGGCGUGCCUAAUACAUGCAAGUCGAGCGAACAGACGAGGAGCUUGCUCCUCUGACGUUAGCGGCGGACGGGUGAGUAACACGUGGAUAACCUACCUAUAAGACUGGGAUAACUUCGGGAAACCGGAGCUAAUACCGGAUAAUAUAUUGAACCGCAUGGUUCAAUAGUGAAAGACGGUUUUGCUGUCACUUAUAGAUGGAUCCGCGCCGCAUUAGCUAGUUGGUAAGGUAACGGCUUACCAAGGCAACGAUGCGUAGCCGACCUGAGAGGGGGAUCGGCCACAUGGGAACUGAGACACGGUCCAGACGCCUACGGGAGGCAGCAGUAGGGAAUCUUCCGCAAUGGGCGAAAGCCUGACGGAGCAACGCCGCGUGAGUGAUGAAGGUCUUCGGAUCGUAAAACUCUGUUAUUAGGGAAGAACAAAUGUGUAAGUAACUAUGCACGUCUUGACGGUACCUAAUCAGAAAGCCACGGCUAACUACGUG
rnacentral:rRNA from 1 species